rnacentral:tRNA from 1 species
GUCGGGAUAGCUCAGUGUGAGUAGAGCAGAGGACUGAAAAUU